rnacentral:rRNA from 1 species
CACGGGGGGAGCAAGCGUUGUUCGGAAUCACUGGGCGUAAAGGGCGUGUAGGCGGUCAAGUAAGUGGAAUGUGAAAUGCCCCGGCUCACCCGGGGACCUGCAUCCCAAACUGCUUGGCUUGAGUAUGGGAGAGGAUGAGGGAAUUCCUGGUGUAGCGGUGGAAUGCGUAGAGAUCCGGAAGAACACCGGUGGCGAAGGCGGUUAGCUGGGCAGUUGCUGACACUGAGGCGCGACAGCGUGGGGAGCAAACAGG